AAACGAUAGACAGAUCUUUCUAACGAUUUGCCAAGUGUUUAUUUAACGUUCAGCAAAUAUGAAAUCUUUCGUUCUUUAUUUCGUCACGUUUUUAUUAAUGAUGUCACCAUUUUUAACAAUGGCUCAUCCAUUGGGUAUCAAGGGCGAUGAAUUACUUAAUAUAUCGAAAAAUGGAACCUCGGUUAAGUUGCCUGAAAUUGAUUUGUCCGAAGUAGGAAGUUUACCAGGUGACUUACUCAAACUACCUACUACAUUGAUCUCUGGAUCGGAUAUGAAGUGUCCUGAUAAUCAAAAAAAAGAUGUUAAUGGAAACUGCCGUGACUCAGUAGAAUAAGAUGAAAAAUCGAUCAUUAAUCUAUUAGCUUCGUCAAACAUUGUCAUGGAAAGAAAGAAAGAGGUUCGUUUGGAAUUUUCGAUCAAAGUUUCUCGAGGAUAUAUUUCUUCGAAAUAAAUGAUAAAUUCUUUAAUAUAAUACAGUUUUGUGAAAUAAAAAUGUACAUGAAUAUUUGCAAAUAAAUAUGUCCAAGUAAACAUA